GCCUGGAUGGUUCAGUUGAUUAACGUCUGACUUCUGCUCAGGUCAUGAUCUCGUGGUGUGUGAGUUCGAGCCCCACGUCAGGCU
rnacentral:tRNA from 1 species